rnacentral:rRNA from 1 species
UACAGAGGUGGCAAGCGUUGUUCGGAAUUACUGGGCGUAAAGGGCGCGUAGGCGGCCCGUCAAGUCCCGUGUGAAAGCCCCCGGCUCAACCGGGGAACGGCGCGGGAAACUAGCAGGCUUGAGUUCGGGAGAGGGAAGCGGAAUUCCGGGUGUAGCGGUGAAAUGCGCAGAUAUCAGGAGGAACACCGGUGGCGAAGGCGGGUCUCUGGGCCGAUACUGACGCUGAGGAGCGAAAGCGUGGGGAGCGAACAGG